GAUGAACGCUGGCGGCGUGCUUAACACAUGCAAGUCGAACGGAAAGGCCCAAGCUUGCUUGGGUACUCGAGUGGCGAACGGGUGAGUAACACGUGGGUGAUCUGCCCCGCACUUCGGGAUAAGCCUGGGAAACUGGGUCUAAUACCGGAUAGGACCACUUCUUGGAGGUUGUGGUGGAAAGUUUUUUCGGUGUGGGAUGAGCUCGCGGCCUAUCAGCUUGUUGGUGGGGUAAUGGCCUACCAAGGCGUCGACGGGUAGCCGGCCUGAGAGGGUGUACGGCCACAUUGGGACUGAGAUACGGCCCAGACUCCUACGGGAGGCAGCAGUGGGGAAUAUUGCACAAUGGGCGCAAGCCUGAUGCAGCGACGCCGCGCGGGGGAUGACGGCCUUCGGGUUGUAAACUCCUUUCGCUAGGGACGAAGCGCAAGUGACGGUACCUAGAGAAGAAGCACCGGCUAACUACGUG
rnacentral:rRNA from 1 species